GAGAAAAUGAGGGCAGCUGGGGAGGCAAGAUUUUUUCUCACAUGAGUUUCUUCGUCUUAAGUUGGAGAUGACACCUACCUUGUAGAUGCUGCGACUGGGAUUGGAGAUCCCAACACAAAAGCUCAGCUCUGGUAUAAAAAUGAGGAAUUGAAAGUGAGUACAGAUGAUAUUUCUAGAUUGUCAAGUUUUGCAAAAUGUGUAAAAGAAAACAAGCAGUAUCAAGACCUGAAGCUAGCGGUGAUCACGUGAUGUGGUUUGGCUGUGUCCCCACCCAGAUCUCAUCUUGAAUUGUAGCUCCCAUAAUCCCCACAUGCAACUGGAGGCACCCAGUGGAAGGAAACCUACAGGUUGCAGAAGAAAAUGGCUGGUGGAAAUGCAGCAGGAAGAAUAACAUGGUUCUGAAACCAGGCUGUCCUGGUUGACGUUUCCUGCCCAUAAGGCCAUCGAAAGGUGGGCAUCUCCUCACGUGGCUGCUGCUAGUGACGGACCUAGUAUGGCCCUGGGAGUUAAAGCGGUGCUGUGGCCUCUGCAGUCCUCAGCACUCCUUCUGGCACUACAGGCAUGCUGUGUUUACAGCAGAGAUGGAGAGGUUUUCUGCCCUAUCUCCACCCUGCCCAGCCCCUAGCUCUGGGCUUUAGUUUGUUAUCUGGGUACCAGAGAGCAUAGCUUGAGCCCCUGCGUCUCACAGAGUCCCUUAUGACAACAGCCUCCUCAGACUCUGCAAACAACCUCUCUCUCCACAGGGCUCAGAUGAGAAUCCAGGGAAACCAACUUCUUAAAAAUAGAUGCCAGUAGGCUGCCUACCCUGCCAAGUCAUUGGACAUUUCCAGACAUGCCUGAUUCCCAGCAGAGAACACAAAUUAGGCUCUCGAAUCCCUGCUACAUUACUAAACGUGCAUAGCACGCCCUAAUGCUUUCCCCUGAAUCAACUCUGUUCGGUAGGUAGGACAGAUGAUAGUAUUAUAGUUUCCAUCUUUCAUACAGAGAAAUUAAUUCUUAGUGAGAAAAAGCUAGAAGCCUGAAGUGAGAUAAUAAUUAAGAUUCUGAUUGAUCACAUGAAUGGAGGGCUUUGAAUAGCAAAUCUGGCACUCUCCUGGGGUACUUCACGGUAACAGGUCACCAAGCUUGGCCCAGAUGCUCUAGACAGAGGCAUUUUCCUCUCUGUGCUCAUGGCAUGUUGGUUUGUUGCAGAGUUUGCUGUAUUUUGUGACACCACUUUAAACGUCAGUCUUCUCCACUAAACAUCUCUCAUGCCAGCAAAGUGCCUGGCAUGGAGAAGGGACCUGAUAAACAUUUAUCGGUGGUAUGAAUAUGAAUUUUUAAAAAAAAUCUCUUAAUGUUUCUCUAAUGAAGGUGGAAUCCUCCCACCCCAGAGAACAUUUGGAAGUGGAGGAGCAUUUUUCGUUGUCACAAUACCAAGGAGUGAUGCUCCAAGCCUUUUAUAACCGGGGCCAGGGAUACGGGAUAUCUUGCAAUCUGUCAGACAGUCCUGCACAAAGAAGUGCUCUGUCCAAAAUGCCAAUCGCUCCUCCUUUGAGAAUAACUACAAGGAAGUCCAAAUGUUAGGAAAGUCCCAAGCACUCCUAAGCCUUCGAGUCUAGCCUAGGAAUAACUUAGCUAUCUGUGACCUUGCUAUUUGAGUUUUGAGACAAAAUAGGGGUUAUGCUAUAUACCCACCUCAUGCUAUGGUUUAAUGAGAACAUAUGUAAGAGGCCUAACAGAGUGGUUGCAUGUGGCAGGAAGACAAGUGAUUUGAGCUCCUUUUCCCCUUACUUCAGGUAAUAGGAACAAUCAUUUGUCUAUGUAUCAGUUUGGCCUAUGGUUUAAUUCAACUGAAAGAUAUUUUGAAAGCAGGCCUAGUGUUCUACGAUCUGCCCUUGGAAAUAUAAAAAGUAGUAUGGUAGUAUAUUUCCCAAUUGUUAUGAGGAUUCGAGUUUCUAAAGAUCAGUGCCUGGCACUGAGUAGUCUCUUUAUAAAUAGUUGACUUGAUGAUAGGUGGCAGAAAUCGAAGAAAAGCAGUGCUCUUGCUUAAAUAUUAAGGUAGCAUAAAAUCAAAUCAUAUUCUCCCUCUUUAGCAAAAUUGAGUGAGAUUUCUUUAGUAAGUUCUGCUUAUCCACUAUUUCCUGCAAAUUAAACAGACUUCCCACAGAAGACAACAAUUCUUGACUUCACUCUGUUCCCACCAUUGCAGAGUAAUGCAUGCUUGGGGCAAAAACACAUAUGACUCACCUGUUUUAUAGUGUCUCUUCGUACCCUUUCAAUUCCCACUGGUGAACGAAUUUACUUUCUACCUGCUUCUUAUUAGAGAAAAUAUGUCAUAGAAACAUUACAAAAUGUUGAUAAGAAUAGAAAACCAUAAUCCUAACCCUAUUGCAACUGUUUAAAAAAUUGCCUUCCAAUGCUUUUCUAUAAGAAUGUCUUUUUGCUGGGCGCGGAGGCUCACGCCUAUAAUCCCAGCACUUUGGGAGGCCGAGGCGGGUGGAUCACGAGGUCAGGAGUUCAAGACCAGUCUGGCCAAGAUGGUGAAACCCCGUCUCUACUAAAAAUACAAAAAUUAGCCGGGCAUGGUGGUGGGCGCCUGUAAUCCCAGCUACUCGGGAGGCUGAGGCAGGAGAAUUGCUUGAACCCAGGAGACAGAGGUUGCAGUGAGCCGAGAUCGUGCCAUUGUACUCCAGCCUCUGUGACACAGCGAGACUCUGUCGCAAAAAAAAAAAAAAAGUCUAUUUAUGGAGUAGCUAUCAUAAUGCACAUACUAUUUUGAUUUCUACUAUAUCCAAUUUGUAUUAUAUAUUUUCCACGUUUCCACGUAAUUGUAAUGUUUAAUGACUGCAAAAUAUUCCAUUGCUUUAAUAUGCCAUCCCAUCUUGUUGGAUAUUGAGAUUGUUCUUACUAGGUAGGGCAGCAAUAAAUAUUUUUUUUACAAACAAUUUU
rnacentral:lncRNA from 10 species